UUUUCAAAACCUUGACCCAAGGGAUAACAGAUCCGCCAAAAAUACAGGAAACUCAUUGAUCACACUGACAAAUCCUCCCCUAUAUUUGCACGGCGUCGCAUGAGUACAAGUACAACCACAAUCAUUCACAACACAACGUAUAUUUACAUUUUCACAAGAAAACCUUUUAAAAUCCGUUUUGCACUCGGAAACCUUUCGAUAAAGCACUACCACGAGGG
rnacentral:lncRNA from 1 species